UUUAAAAGAGGUUCUUAAUAAUUUUAUAUUUAUAUUUUAGUUCACUUUUAUUUUACAAUUAAAUUUCAUUGUUUAUGAUGUAAUCUAACCAUUAAUAAAACGACAUAAAUGAAAGAGGGUAUCACAUAAAGUUCUAAUAAAUACUUAUUUGAGAUCUGAUAUCUAAUUUUUUUCUCUAAUUUUUUAUUUUUUCUUAAUUUUUUAUUGUUGAGAUAUCCACAUAUGACUCAUAUUUAGAGACUAUACCUUUUCAUAUGAAGUAUGAAAAAGAGUAUUUUACACUAUAAAAAUGAAAAAUUUAAUAACGAAUUAGGAAAAAAAGAAGAAAAACAUAAGAUUCCCCAAGUUUUUUCAAAAUACUCAUCCUAAAACUUUUUUCUUUCUCAUUCUCUAUGUUUCUCUUCUUUAUUGUCUCAGAUCAGAAACAAGGAAAGCUUGAUAAUAUGAGCACAACAUAUGUUCAACUUUGUUUCUCAGAAGAUUCAAAAGGAGAUAGGCUGUAUAAUCCAAUGGCUAAAAAUAUUGUGGUGAGAAGAGAUGUAGUAUUUGAAGAAACAAAGGGAUAGGACUGUGAAGAAGAUCAAGAUCAUCAUGGUGCGGAUGAACUGACUUGGAAAGAUGAUGAUGUUUUUUAGGAAGAAAGUGAGAAAAAGGAUAACAACGUUGGUGGUGGUGAUGAGAUAGCAUAACGCCAUAACCUGUGGAAACUGUAGAAAGAGCUCAAAAUGAGCAGAAUGUGGAAGUCAUGGAGGGACGAGCACCACGAUAUCUUGUUGAGGAUGAAUAAAAGAAAAAGUGAAUGUUUUUGAAAUGAUUCAACUGAUCCAUCAAGCUUUGAAGAAGCUAAACAGUAUCAAAGUGGAGGGAAAGCAAUGAAGGAGGAAAUAAAUUUAAUCGUAAUGAAUGAGAUAUGGGAGCUUUUUUCCUCCCAUCUGAAGCUAAAUGCACUAGUGUAAAGUGGAUCUACAAGACAAAGUUGAAUCAGCAUGACGAGACAAUCAAGUAUAAAAAGAGGUUUGUAGCGAAGGGGUAUUCACAUGAACAUGGAAUAGAUUACACCGAGGUGUAUACUCGUGUUGCUCGCAUGGACACCAUCAUGACCAUCCUAGCCACAACAGCUCAGAAAGCUUGGGAGAUAUACCAGACUGACAUGGAAUCAGCCUUCCUCCAUGGUAUUCUUACUGAGGAUAUCUACAUACAACAACCAAAAAGGUAUGUAGUAGAAAGACAAUAAGACAAACAUAUAUAAACUUCACAAGGCACUAUAUGGCCUUAAACAAACUCCAAGGGCAUGCUUAGUCGCACUGAAGAGUACUUUUUUGGUAAGUUUCAUGAAGUACCAGAAUGAAGAAACCUUGUUUCUCAAGAUCAAAAAUCAAGGUAACAUCUUGAUUGCCAAUUUUGUCGAUUAUCUUAUUUAUACAGGGAUCCUCGUGUAUAACACCACCACAAGGCCUGAUCUGCAAUUCUAUGCAAAUUUGUUAAGCUGGUUCAUGUCAAAUCCUACAAAGAUACAUUUCCAGGCAGUAAAGAAGGUUUUGAGGUAUUUGAAAGGCACAACUUAUUUCGGUAUCUAGUACAACAAAGGAGGAAUGGGAGAAUUACUUUUCUAUAAUGAUAGUGAUUUCGCAGGGUAUGUUGAUAGUAGAAAGAGAGCUUUGGGGUAUGAAUUUCUUAUGGAUAAUGUUGUUGUAGCAUGGUGUUCAAAGAAGCAAGCAAUAGUCACAUUGUCCAUAACUGAAGCCGAAUAUAUGGCUUCCUCAAAUUGUGCUUGUCAAGCUAUUUGGUUCAAACGUGUCUUAAUGGAGCUAGGAUAUGAGGUAGAUGGAAUUAUUGUCAUUCUCUAUGAAAAUACAUCGACAUGUGUUGGAUUUCACUUUCUAUGAGACCUAGUUAGUGAUGGAGAAGUUAGUUUGGAGCAUUGUGGUUUAGAGAAACAAGUUGCAGACAUCUUUACAAACCACUAAAAGAAGAGUGUUCUAAAGGAUGAGGAGUAGGCUUGAGAUUUCCUCAGUUAGAGACAAAAUAAAACUUAUAAAAAAAGUUCAGUAAGGGUUUGUUGGAGCAAAUCAGCACGAAAAGAUAUGAGAAGGUGGAGUUACAAGUUUGAAUUAGUCUUUCAUGUUUUAGUAUGAUCAAAUAAUGACCGAGCUUCUCGGUCUAAGUUGUUUAAAUUAGUUGCAUCUAUUAAGAGUUUUUUUUUUCUUUUUUUUUGUUAUAAGGCUAUUUAAGAGCCAUGUCUUUCAUUGAAUAAGAACAUAGUUUCGUAAAGCAAUGAACAAUUAGUAAUUACAGUUUUGUCUCUUGUCUUCUUCUCUCUAAGUUUUCUUUUCUUUGUUUCAACCGGUAUUACAUUUUUCUUUUCUUGGUUCAAGUAGUGCGAACAUUCUCUAUGUUGUCUCAUUGUUUAUGUGGGUCUGGUGCAAUAACUGUUUCAUAACCUAUAAUCUAAAAUAUCUGCAAAAAGAAAUCUUUAAUUUUUAUGAAAAAUAUCCUAAAUACUAACUAAAAUAUGAUAUUUUAACAAUCUUCUCUUGACCCACAUAACCCAGAUUUGAUUCCAUGUUGCACCUGCUUUAUACUAUUUUUUUCUUAAAAUUAUUUUCGUUCUGGGCCAAAAACCAAUCUUUGACACCCCUUAAAUUUAGGGCUGGGUCCGCCACUGACCAUUAGAGAGGUUCAUAGAGUUACAGUUACAACAAAGAUGAAGUAAACCAGGGGAAAAACUCAUUUCCUGAAAGUUUAUCAAGUUCCUGUGAAUUGAUGUAGAUAUCAUUUGAAUUUUUUGAUUGGUUAAGGUGGUAUGCAACGGCGGAUAAUCUUUUCUUGCUUCUGCUGAUGAUUCUGCCGGAUUUGAAGGUGGGAAUGAUAAGACAUUUAAGAUCUAGGUCUGCUUUAGAUGCCUUGAUUCAGACAACAGCAAUAAUGAGGGAGAUUUCCUCCAUUUGAAUAUUGACCUGAGCAACAAGAACUCAGGAACAUUGAAGUCCAAGGUUUUGAUAAUUGUAAAAAAAAACAAAAACAGUAACUCAAACAACUUGGAAAUUUAGUUUCUACCACACUGACGUCAAAAAGAGGUUUUACUAGAACAAGCGAUUCUUCAA